rnacentral:pre_miRNA from 1 species
ACCUGAAUUACCAAAAGCUAUGUAUUCUGAAGUUAUUGAAAAUAAGAGCUUUUGGGAAUUCAGGUAG